UACGGGGGGGGCAAGCGUUGUUCGGAAUUACUGGGCGUAAAGGGUUCGUAGGUGGCGUGCUAAGUCAGACGUGAAAUCCCUCAGCUUAACUGGGGAACUGCGUCUGAGACUGGCAGGCUUGAGGACAGGAGAGGAACGCGGAAUUCCAGGUGUAGCGGUGAAAUGCGUAGAUAUCUGGAGGAACACCGGUGGCGAAGGCGGCGUUCUGGACUGUAACUGACACUGAGGAACGAAAGCCAGGGGAGCAAACGGG
rnacentral:rRNA from 1 species